rnacentral:rRNA from 1 species
UACGUAGGUGGCAAGCGUUGUCCGGAUUUACUGGGCGUAAAGAGCGCGCAGGCGGUCGUACAAGUCGCGUGUGAAAGCCCCCAGCUCAACUGGGGAGGGUCACGCGAUACUGUUCGACUCGAAGGCAGGAGAGGGAAGCAGAAUUCCCGGUGUAGUGGUGAAAUGCGUAGAUAUCGGGAGGAAUACCAGUGGCGAAGGCGGCUUCCUGGCCUGUUCUUGACGCUGAGGCGCGAAAGCUAGGGUAGCAAACGGG